ACAGGCGAAGGGUGCCAGGAGACUUGAUCGAAGUUUAUAUAUGAAUGAAGGGCUUUAAUAAGGGUGAUAUUGAUAAGGUUUUAUUGGUAAGGGAGCCGGGCUGGACACAUAGUAAUGGGUUUAAGUUAGAUAAAUUCAGUUUCAAGAAUGACAGGCAAGAAUUGGUUUACUAACACAGAGGUGGAUGAGUGGAACAGGCCUGGCAGUCAUGUGGUGAGUGCCAAUACUAACAGAGUAGUGGAUGUGUGGAACAGGCCUGGCAGUCAUGUGGUGAGUGCCAAUACUAACAGAGUAGUGGAUGAGUGGAACAGGUCUGGCAGUCAUGUGGUGAGUGUCAGUACUAACAGAGUGGUGGACGAGUGGAACAGGCCUGGCAGUCAUGUGGUGAGUGUCAAUACGAUAGAUACAUUCAAGAAGAAGUUAUAUAAAUCCAUGGAUAGUGAAGUUAAGUAGUGUUAGGGUUACAGAAGCUGCCUUGUAUAGACCUACUGGCCUCUUGCUGAAUCCUUAUGAUCUUAUGUUCUUAUGUUCUUAUGUAAGCGACCACGCCCACUAUCUUAAAACUGAAUCUUACUGGUGGAUGUUGGGAAAGGUUAAAUCUUAUUGGUGGAUGCUGGGAAAGGUCGAAUCUCAUUGGUGGAUGCUGGGAAAGAUUGAAUCUCAUUGGUGGAUGCUGGGAAAGGUUGAAUCUUACUGGUGGAUGCUGGGAAAAGUUGAAUCUCAUUGGUGGAUGCUGGGAAAGGUUGAAUCUCAUUGGUGGAUGCUGGGAAAGGUUGAAUCUCAUUGGUGGAUGCUGGGAAAGGUUGAAUCUCAUUGGUGGAUGCUGGGAAAGGUUGAAUCUUAUUGGUGGAUGCUGGGAAAGGUUGAAUCUCAUUGGUGGAUGCUGGGAAAGGUUGAAUCUCAUUGGUGGAUGCUGGGAAAGGUUGAAUCUCACUGGUGGAUGCUGGGAAAGGUUGAAUCUCAUUGGUGGAUGCUGGGAAAGGUUGAAUCUCAUUGGUGGAUGCUGGGAAAGGUUGAAUCUCACUGGUGGAUGCUGGGAAAGGUUGAAUCUCAUUGGUGGAUGCUGGGAAAGGUUGAAUCUCAUUGGUGGAUGCUGGGAAAGGUUGAAUCUCAUUGGUGGAUGCUGGGAAAGGUUGAAUCUCAUUGGUGGAUGCUGGGAAAGGUUGAAUUUCAUUGGUGGAUGCUAGGAAGGGCUCGUACAGUGUUCUAAUGAGUGUUGUUUUAGGUUCAUGGUACUGAAAAAGGGUCACACUAACACUGGGCUCAUAAAAGUACCUCUGAGAAUGCCCAAAACUC